UAUUCCGAAAGGAACCUCCCAGAAUAAACCUGUAUAGGGGAAUUCGAACACGGGGAGUGACUAGUUGCUUAAGCGUUCACGUUAGGGUCACACAAUUAAUUACCUCCAAUGUAUCAUCUCUAUUUCCAUUGUCUAAGCACACAAGGAAACUAUAAUCUCUCCUUUUACCUUAUCAAUCUCUUCCUUACAACAAUUCAGUCAUACCAAUAACUGUUAUUUCCACCAAUAUAUCUUCACUCUUAUAAUCUCCAAUUGUAAUACCGCAACAUCACAACUUCAGCACACAAUUACCCUCAUUCCAAUUACUGGAAUUCUUCACACAGAACUACCAUUCACAUUACAGUGUUUCACACAACCACAGAUUCACUCUUUCUGCUAAACUACAUUCAAAUUUCAGCAUUCAAUCUCUCUUCUUCUCAUUCAAUAAC
rnacentral:lncRNA from 1 species